rnacentral:other from 1 species
AUUCGAGAGCAUAUCCACUAAAACAAGGAUUGAAAC